rnacentral:rRNA from 1 species
UACAGAGGGUGCGAGCGUUGUCCGGAAUCACUGGGCGUAAAGGGCGCGUAGGUGGCGACCCAAGUCGAUGGUGAAAGCUCGCCGCUCAACGGCGAGUCGGCCACUGAUACUGGGUUGCUGGAGCACUGUAGAGGCAGAUGGAAUUCCGGGUGUAGCGGUGGAAUGCGUAGAGAUCCGGAAGAACACCGGUGGCGAAGGCGGUCUGCUGGGCAGUUGCUGACACUGAGGCGCGACAGCGUGGGGAGCAACAGG